GACGAACGCUGGCGGCGUGCUUAACACAUGCAAGUCGAGCGGUAAGGCCCUUUCGGGGGUACACGAGCGGCGAACGGGUGAGUAACACGUGGGUGACCUGCCCUCAGCUCUGGGAUAAGCCUGGGAAACUGGGUCUAAUACUGGAUAUGACUCCACGGUGCAUGUCGUGGGGUGGAAAGCCUUGUGCGGCUGAGGAUGGGCCCGCGGCCUAUCAGCUUGUUGGUGGGGUGAUGGCCUACCAAGGCGACGACGGGUAGCCGGCCUGAGAGGGCGACCGGCCACACUGGGACUGAGACACGGCCCAGACUCCUACGGGAGGCAGCAGUGGGGAAUCUUGCGCAAUGGGCGAAAGCCUGACGCAGCAACGCCGCGU
rnacentral:rRNA from 1 species